UACGAAGGGUGCAAACGUUGCUCGGAAUUAUUGGGCGUAAAGCGCACGUAGGCGGCUUAGUAAGUUGGAUGUGAAAUCCCUCGGCUUAACCAAGGAAGUGCAUCCAAAACUACUGAGCUUGAGUACUAAAGAGGAUCGCGGAAUUCCCGGUGUAGAGGUGAAAUUCGUAGAUAUCAGGAGGAACACCGGUGGCGAAGGCGGGUCUCUGGGCCGAUACUGACGCUGAGGAGCGAAAGCGUGGGGAGCGAACAGG
rnacentral:rRNA from 1 species